rnacentral:rRNA from 1 species
UUUGACCUCAAAUCAGGUAGGACUACCCGCUGAACUUAAGCAUAUCAAUAAGCGGAGGAAAAGAAACUAACAAGGAUUCCCCUAGUAACUGCGAGUGAAGCGGGAAAAGCUCAAAUUUGAAAUCUGGCAGUCUUUUUUUUCUUCUUUGGCUGUCCGAGUUGUAAUCUAGAGAAGUGCUUACCUGCGCUGGACCAUGUAUAAGUCUCCUGGAAUGGAGCCUCACAGAGGGUGAGAAUCCCGCCUUUGACAUGGACCGCCAGUGAGUUGGGGUGCGCUCUCA